rnacentral:tRNA from 1 species
GGGGCUGUAGCUCAGCGGUAGAGUGCUUGCCUAGCACAUGCAAGACCUGGGGUUCUAUCCUCAGCAUCA